GCGGCGCCACGCCCAAAGCGUCUAGCGUCGGACGCCGGAUAAAUGCUCGUGAUUCUGCGGUUUGUUUUUUGUUGGCUUUGGAGAGGAUAUGGACUGAAAAAAAAUGCACAACCUGGAAGUUGAGAAUUAUGUUUUAUUCAGCGCACUUGCUGAGGACUUGAGCCCGGGAGACAGCCUCUCAGAUAUCUCCGACGGACUGUUCUGAAGAGUCAGAUGACCAAGGCAAGGAAAUGGAAUAGGACCAGGGUGCCAGGUGAAGACUUCAUCUCAAGAACAAUGAAGCUUCCUUAAUCUUAAACAAAAAAAGACAUCCUGAGGAGUUUCUCUGACAGAUUCGAUAAAAUGCCUCUCACCUCCUCAUGGAUCAAAGUGAUUUUCAUCAUCUUGGCCAUUACUCUUUAUUCUGAAAAAGUGGUGGCAAAUUUGCUAUUGCUCAUUAUAGUGAAUGCUGACUUUUUCCUGGAGCAACACAUUCCUACAACUUCUACUGUGAUCCCAUUUUGCAGUGGAUGCUACAGACAAUUAGAGUUGCAGAGUCGGGGUCUUCCAUUCUUAGAGGACCAGGAACUCGGAAAGCUUCCCAUCUCUUCUGUACCUUAGAGUUUCAAAGAAUUGUUUUCACCUUCUCCCUUCCUCAUACAUGUGUUUAUCAGAUAAAAUUGUCCCAAACCCCUGCUGAGAGAUGAUCUGUGUGAGAUCUUCGUGAGGAAGAACACAGAAAACCUCAGGGUCUUAUCUGCUGGGGGCCAUCUGUUUUACCCCACCAGGCUGGUCACCAACAGUCCAAUAAAGGAGACUCUUCAGCUGGGGGAAGUGGUUGAGAAGGAAAGGGAAUCAAAAUAGGCACAGUCCCUGGAGCUGCAGACCUCACUCUCCACUGCCUUCUCUGUUUCAGGUAGGUCAGGUGGGGAUGCUGUGGAGGUAGCCCUGGUGUGUCACAUUGCUGUGAGGACUGCUGCAGACUUGAUAAGAUGUCUCUCUUCUCAUCAUGGAUCAAAGUUAUUUUCAUUAUUGGCUUGGCAUGUCCUCUUUAUUUUGGUGAGUAAAAUUUUCAGACCUGGAUGAAGCAACUAACAUAUUUUAGGAAAUGUAGGAAACAACUGCUAUUAUCUAGGAAUGAAGGAGAUUGCUGUUGGGUAUGUAAUACUUAAACGGGCAAAAUGAAAUGUUACAAAUACCUAUUUAAAAAUUACAUCAGUAGAUUGCUUUUUCUCAUUUCCCACCUUAGAAGGGUAGAGACAGAGGGGGUUAGAAUGAGCAGUAAAAUUUAGUUUUCUGUUUAUUUAUGAUUAAAGAUAUUUACCUGAUUUUUUCCCCCUUUUUGGAGGUCAGAUUUCAUCGUUGCUAAAUGCAGAGUGUGGGCAGUAAAAAAGUCCUCUAGAUCUGGUAUCCUUGACAAUCCUAUUUGUUGUUUGCCAGCUGUGAGUCCACUAAAGUCAAGGCUUUGUGUAAGGAGAGAAGUAAUUGAUCCCUCUGCUGAAAACUUAUCUUUCUUAAAGCACAAGAUGGCCCAUGAAUUUCAGAGUAAAGUAGCUGUGAGAUAUUAAUGAGAUCCAUGAUACUCGAGUUGAAUACUAAGUAGUAAUUAACUUCUUCAUAUUAAGUGGCCUUAAGCAAGGCAUUGUCUUCUCUGACUAGGAUGUCUCUAUUUAUAAAAAUGAAAAAAAGUGGUAUCUCCACAGCAGGGUUUGGUGAUUAUUAAGCCAUACUUAAAGUUAUUUUUCAGAGUGAGAUGAAUUUAGAAUUCUAUUUCCAGAUUUGAAGUUAUUUUGUGAGAUGAUUAUUUUGAUACUACCACAAAAGCCUCACCUCAUUACUUGCUGUGUUUGAGUAGGCGAUUUGCAUAGAUGUGGGUACUUCCCACCAGAGACAUUGUUUUCCCCUGUUCAUCUUCUUCUUUUCAAUUUACCUUUUGUGUGAUGGUUGCAGAAACUGCUUUUGUACCCUUAAGAGAGACACGUGAAACUGUAAGUUCAUACUGAUUAAUGUGGGAAUUGAAAAAGGUAAACUUUUAAUUUUUUUAUAUUUUAAGUUUUAACAGCAAAUUUUAUCAAAAAUAUCUAUAACAGAAUAGUCCUUCAAAAAGUAAGAUAAAGUGUCAUUCUUACACUAAGUUCAAGAAAUAGAAUCUUGCCAGCUAUAUAAAACCAUCCGUCAUUUCAGACAAGGUAAAAAUAUCCCAUUAUUCACAGUUUUAUUAUUGAGCAUAAACCUUGUUAUAUACAGGCAUCAAAAAACAGUGUUUAAAGUGGAAUUGUUCACCCUAGAAAAAGAAGAGGAUUAAAAAAAACUAAUUUAGGGGGCUUCCCUGGUGGCACAGUGGUUGAGAGUCCACCUGUCGAUGCAGGGGACAUGGGUUCGUGCCCCGGUCCGGGAAGAUCUCACAUGCCGCGGAGCGGCUGGGCCCGUGAGCCGUGGCCACUGAGCCUGUGCGUCCGGAGCCUGUGCUCCGCAACGGGAGAGGCCCGCGUACCGCAAAAAACAACAACAACAACUAAUUUUGGGCUUCCCUGGUGGUGCAGUGGUUAAGAAUCCACCUGUCAAUGCAGGGAACACGGGUUCAAGCCCUGGUCCGGGAAGAUCCCACAUGCUGCGGAGCAGCUAAGCCGGUGUGCCACAACUACUGAGCCUGUGCUCUAGAGCCCAUGAGCCACAACUACUGAAGCCUGUGCACCUAGAGCUUGUGCACCGCAACAAGAGAAGCCAAUGCAAUGAGUAGCCCCUGCUUGCUGCAGCUAGAGAAAGCCUGCACACAGCAACGAAGACCCAGUGCAGCCAAAAAUAAAUAAAAUUAAAAAAAUAAAUAAAUAAAAUUGAAAGCAGGGACUCAAACAGAUAUUUAUUUUUUAAAAACCCUAAUUUUCCACUUACAGGAAUAUAAAAUAAUUUUCAUAAAAUCACAGAUUGGAAUAUUACAUAGAGGUGAAGAAAAUCAACUGUAUUUCUAAACAUCUAAACAAACAUUUUUAAAGAUGCCUAAAAAGCAGAUCAUGUAAGGAUACACACACUAUUGUUUAUUUAUGUAAAUUGCCAACACUGCCAUCACUACACAAAUUAUAUAUAUACAUGUAUAUGGUUAACUACACAUAUACAAACAUAUAUAUGAACACAUACAUAUACGGUGAUAAUCUUAAACUAUCAGAUUAUCUAUUAGUGAAACUAUUGAGGAAAACAGAAGAAUUAUAACAAAUUCACUUUUAUAAUUUUUUGUGGUAUGAGAUAAUGGUGAACAUCUGAUCCAUGUAUGAGGUGAAGUAGGGGCAGAGUGGCUAAAUUAUUAAAAUGCAUUUAGCCAUUUGUAUGUUUUUAAAAAAUACAAAAAAUAUUGGGGUUGCAAAAAUAUAUCAAUAUAUUUUUAUGUCUCUGUGCAUGACUUAUGUCUAUUUUUAAACCUCAAUAUAGACUAUAGAGUAUAUUUCAUUUUGAUGCAUACCAUUUUGUAUUAAGAAUAAAAAAUAUUUUAUUCAAAAAGUUUAUUAUCUGAAAAUUUUUGUUGUCUGUUUAACAGCCAGAAUGUAACGUGUAUGUGGAUCAGUUACAUUUUUGCACCAGAGAAAUGGACCCAAUCUGUGCAACGAAUGGCCGAACGUACCCCAAUAAAUGUGUUUUCUGCAGUGAAAAGCUGUAAGAACACAAGACUAAAUAUUGGCUCAUCCAAAGUAAUGAAGAAACAAUCACAAAAUUAUAGGAACCUCCAUUUUUCUAGCCAGGUCACAGUAUAGAUGGAAAAUAACUGUACUUUCUCUGUUAAAGCCAAAGAAACACACUGGUACCUUUCCCUUGAGUCUCAUUCCUAAAAGUAGUUUUCAUUUGACCUCGAAGUAUAUCCAUCCCUGUUGGAUGUUACCCAACUGUAUAAAUCAAUUACUUUAACUUGAUUUAAUUGCUGUGACUUACUAAUGGAAGUCUGGUGACUGAUAUAAUGUAAUUCUUAACUCCAGAGGCUGAAUGAGAACCUCUAUGAUGUAGCUCCAAGCUACAGGGAGCAUAACUGAGCAAGAAAAACCACUGACUUCAGAAAUUUAAAUCCAUCACAAUGGACAAUUUAUGCUAGAAAGGAACUCCUCCAGUGGUCCAUUUUGUCCCCUGAUCUCCUUGACAAGACUACAAACUUUCCUUAGAGAGCAGGGCAUGCUAGGGCACUUCCACCUAACCUCCCUUGCUGUCUCAUUCCCCCGAGGGAGUUCCCAGUCUCAAGGUUCAGCCAGCCUUCCUACUUCCCACCUCAUUUCCUCUCACUGGUGUUUCCUCUCAUUUAAUCCCCAAAUGGGCUUCUCCUUCUAGAGAACCAUGAAAACAAUCUCUAAUCCUCCUCUCUGAGGUCUCUCCUCAGUGGGUUCCAAGGCUGAGUCAGGACUGAGCAUGUAGGAAGAGUCAAGUAGCCCCAGGUGGUUGGGAGGACCUGUGUAGGGUAGGGGGGUAAGGAGGGGCCCAGCUACCUGUUUGAGGAAGGGGAGCACAGCCCUCCUAGCACUCUUAUAUUCAGAUUCUCCUCAUGGAGAAGCGCUUAGUGCAGUGCUCAGGCAAUUUUAAAUACUUUUUUAAGCAUAAUUUUUCUUUUUGCUUUUUCUUUCUUUACAGAAAAGAUAGUGGAAAAUUUGAUUUUAGUCAUUGGGGUUGUUGCUGACUCUGCCUCAGCCACACAUUCCUAUGGCUUUUAUAGCAAUUCUAUUGUGAAAUGGAUUCUACAAUUAGUCUUCUUCAUCAGGGCUUUAAAUUCCUAGAUGAUCAGACAAAGCCUUCAGCACUACAGAAGAUGGAAUAUAGAUCGUUGAAGAAUUUUUCCAACUCUAAGAACCUGCCAAUGAAAGAUUUCUAUUUUGUCUUCAGUUAUUCAGUGACAGUUGAAAACCCAUCUUAAUUGUGUGUUCAAUAAUACAAAACCUAAUGUAAUUUGUAAUCAUGAAUAUUUCAAUCCAUAAAAUGUUAAAUAGUAUUAUCUUUAUUAAAAUACUCUUUCUUUGGUUGGUUGGUUA